rnacentral:rRNA from 1 species
GCUCUCAGAGGUGUUGGGAGUACCACCUGCCCUAUGUUUAAUGGCUGCGGUAAUCUGACUGUGCAAAGGUAGCGUGAUAAGUUGCCCUUUAAUUGUGGGCCCGUACAAAUGGUAGGACGGGGUUCUCGGUCUUGGAUUUUGAAAUUAAGGUAGUGGUAAAAACGCCAUUGUUAAACUCAGGGACGAUUAGACCCUAGGAGCUGGUUAUUUCAAUUGGAUGGGGAAUUCUGGGAAGAGCCGGAUCUUUUAAUUAGCUACCCUAGGGAUAACAGCGUGGUCUAGACUUGGAGUGCUCAUUCGGGUUUGGGUUCGCGACCUCGAUGUUGAAUUGUGAGGUGCAGGAGCUUUAGUUUGUUCAACUAUUAGUCCCACACA